rnacentral:tRNA from 1 species
GUUUAAAUAGCUUAAAUUUGAAAGCGUGAUAUUGAAGAUAUUAAUAUAAGUGAAUACUUUUUAAACA